rnacentral:rRNA from 1 species
AGUGAACGCUGGCGGUAGGCCUAACACAUGCAAGUCGAACGGCAGCACAGUAAGAGCUUGCUCUUACGGGUGGCGAGUGGCGGACGGGUGAGGAAUACAUCGGAAUCUACUUUUUCGUGGGGGAUAAUGUAGGGAAACUUACGCUAAUACCGCAUACGACCUACGGGUGAAAGCAGGGGAUCUUCGGACCUUGCGCGAUUGAAUGAGCCGAUGUCGGAUUAGCUAGUUGGCGGGGUAAAGGCCCACCAAGGCGACGAUCCGUAGCUGGUCUGAGAGGAUGAUCAGCCACACUGGAACUGAGACACGGUCCAGGCUCCUACGGGAGGCGGCAGUGGGGAAUAUUGGACAAUGGGCGCAAGCCUGAUCCAGCCAUACCGCGUGGGUGAAGAAGGCCUUCGGGUUGUAAAGCCCUUUUGUUGGGAAAGAAAAGCAGCAGGUUAAUACCCCGCUGUUCUGACGGUACCCAAAGAAUAAGCACCGGCUAACUUCGUG